rnacentral:rRNA from 1 species
CUACGGGUUGCACCAGUGAGGAAUAUUGCACAAUGGGGGGAACCCUGAUGCAGCAACGCCGCGUGGAGGAUGACGCAUUUCGGUGUGUAAACUCCUUUUAUAUGUCAAGAAAAUGACGGUAGCAUAUGAAUAAGCACCUGCUAACUCCGUGCCAGCAGCCGCGGUAAUACGGAGGGUGCAAGCGUUACUCGGAAUCACUGGGCGUAAAGGACGCGUAGGCGGGUUGGAAAGUCAGGUGUGAAAUCCUACAGCUUAACUGUAGAACUGCACUUGAAACUGCUAAUCUAGAGUAUGGGAGGGGGAGAUGGAAUUAGUGGUGUAGGGGUAAAAUCCGUAGAUAUCACUAGGAAUACCUGAAGCGAAGGCGAUCUCCUGGAACAUUACUGACGCUAAGGCGUGAAAGCGUGGGGAGCAAACAGGAUUAGAUACCCGGGUAGUC